UCCGUUUCCAGCUUCCGGGCGGGGCGCGACUUCCGGUUCCGGCGGUGGGCUACAAAGCUCGGCGCCGAGCAGCUGAUUUCUCUUUCCCGGAGCCGGUGGCGGGGCUUGGCGUUUCGCUCCUCUCCUUCCCCCCGUUCACCCGGCCUUCCGAGGGGCACCUGCGCAGGAGUCUGAAAAAUCCUUUUGCAGAGUUUUAGGAUGGAGACUGAAGGGUGUCCAGAGAUGCAAAGAGAUGGAGAAGUCCAGAAUGAUGAAAUAAGGUCACCAUCAAAUGAGAGGAUGACUGAGGAGCCAGAAGGCAUCCUGAUAGCGCCGCCCCAGGUCCAGGUUCCACCAGAGAGCCUGGAUGAAGACUCUGAAGAUGACCUGGAGACCGUGCCCCGAAGGAGUCCUCUCAACCCUGCAGCCUCCAGGCAGAGGUUCCGGGAGUUCCGCUAUGAAGAUGCAGCUGGGCCCAGGGAUGUCCUGAGACAUCUCCAAGAGCUUGCUGGACAGUGGCUGCGACCUGAUAUUCACACAAAGGAGCAGAUUGUGGAAAUGCUGGUGCAGGAGCAAUUCCAGGCCGUCCUCCCUGAGGAGCUCAGAGCUUGGGCACUGAGGUGUCAGCCUGGGGUCAGAAUCACUGGCUAAAAUCUCACUGCUUCUUUUUCAGCCUACAUAUGAGAAGUGACCAAAGGCUCUCUGUUGCAAAUCCAACUACAGUCAUGAGAAAUCUGAACCUUGAUUUUCUUUGAGCUUGCCUUUGCUAGCUGUAAUAAGAAUCAAUGAAAACCUUUUUUUUUUUUUUUUGCCUGAAGCAGCUCUAUUUCCUGGCACUGCGAACUCCAAAAUGAGUUUCCCUGCCCUCUUGUAAGGACAAUCAGUCUGCUGCUUGUUUUUGCUCUGCUGAAUGCAUCCCUUUUUGCACUUUGUGACACGCUUUAAUAUAUAGUUUUUAUGUAUCCAAAGAGAUGAUUGCUUCAACUUUAAUAUUCUUGAUUCUCGCUGUGGUGGCUUGAAUGGAAGCUUCUGUAACCCCGCCAGUAACUCAUUUGGGGUGUCCUUGAAAUAUUAAAGUUUGAUUCUUAAUAAAAAUGUCCUGUGGUGAUUU